GAUGAACGCUGGCGGCGUGCCUAAUACAUGCAAGUCGAGCGAACGGACGAGAAGCUUGCUUCUCUGAUGUUACCGACGGACGGGUGAGUAACACGUGGAUAACCUACCUAUAAGACUGGGAUAACUUCGGGAAACCGGAGCUAAUACCGGAUAAUAUUUUGAACCGCAUGGUUCAAAAGUGAAAGACGGUCUUGCUGUCACUUAUAGAUGGAUCCUCGCUGCAUUAGCUAGUUGGUAAGGUAACGGCUUACCAAGGCCACGAUGCCUAGCCGACCUGAGAGGGUGUAGGCCCACAGUGGAAGUGGACCACCGUCCAGACUCCGACGGGAGGCCGAAGUAGGGACUCGUCCGCAAUGGGCGAAAGCCUGCCGGAGCAACGCCGCGUGGGUGAUGAGGGUCUUCGGAUCGUAAAACUGUGUUAUUAGGGAAGAACAUAUGUGUAAGUAACUGUGCACAUCUUGACGGUACCUAGUCAGAAAGCCACGGCUAACUACGUG
rnacentral:rRNA from 1 species